GAUGAACGCUGGCGGCGUGCCUAAUACAUGCAAGUCGAGCGAACGGACGAGAAGCUUGCUUCUCUGAUGUUAGCGGCGGACGGGUGAGUAACACGUGGAUAACCUACCUAUAAGACUGGGAUAACUUCGGGAAACCGGAGCUAAUACCGGAUGAUAUUUUGAACCGCAUGGUUCAAAAGUGAAAGACGGUCUUGCUGUCACUUAUAGAUGGAUCCGCGCUGCAUUAGCUAUUUGGUAAGGUAACGGCUUACCAAGGCAACGAUGCAUAGCCGACCUGAGAGGGUGAUCGGCCACACUGGAACUGAGACACGGUCCAGACUCCUACGGGAGGCAGCAGUAGGGAAUCUUCCGCAAUGGGCGAAAGCCUGACGGAGCAACGCCGCGUGAGUGAUGAAGGUCUUCGGAUCGUAAAACUCUGUUAUUAGGGAAGAACAUAUGUGUAAGUAACUGUGCACAUCUUGACGGUACCUAAUCAGAAAGCCACGGCUAACUACGUG
rnacentral:rRNA from 1 species